rnacentral:lncRNA from 1 species
UCAAGAGUUCGAAAACACUUUCAUCUCUAACCUCUCUGUUUUCUCUAUUUCUCGUUGUCUUACGGAGUUUAUUCAAACAUGGCCCAAGUUAGCACCGUGAAGGCCACUAUGAUCCUCUUUGCUAUUGUGAUGUUUGCUGCAGCUGCUACAGUCUCGGCACAAGAAGUUUCUCCGACUCCAUCGCCGGAUGUUGGAUCAGCCUUUUCCGUACCUCUCCCCAAUGCCAUGAUUGUUUCAUCUCUGCUCGUUUCUCUCAUCGCUCUCAUAAAGCAUUGAAAUGGGAUUCGAGAUGUCGAAAUUAUCUUUUAUGUAUUGAUUUUAUAGAAGGAUCGAGUAUUGUAUUGUACUUAUUAUUGAGGAUUGUAUUUGAUUUAUGGAUGAUUCUCAUUAUUUUAUAAAUAAAUAAAUAAAAUUUUAAUUAUCUUUGAUUGUUAUCAUUUUUGUUUUAUUAUUGCACUUUUUGAUUGCAAAAAAAUGCUUUAAAGCAUUGAUUUUAUUAUAUGUCUCUAUUUUUCUCAUUUGAUAAUUUGGAUGAGAAUUGAAAUAUUAUAGGAUCGCAUAUUAACAUUUAAACAUGUAUUUAAUAGCAAAAAUUCAACCGAUUACCUUGAUUUAUGUCAUGGGAAGUCAUUUCUUCUCCCUCUGAUAUCCAAUAAGCUGCUUUUUGGGUGUGUGAUUGUUCGAGAAUUAUGGAUCAAUGAGCUCUUCCCUUACCUUCCAAAAUUCAGUCCAAAGUGCAAAUAUAUGUGUUUGAGUCAGUCAAGUAAAUUAAGAUGAAUCCAUAAAAAAUAAAACAAUAAUAUGUAUCUAGUCCCCUUAUGGAUCACAAUACAAAAAAUAAAUUAACACUUAUUUAUGAUAUUAUCAAAUUGAUUAUGUAAGUCCAUACAUAAAAAUUCCAACAAAUUUUACAUGUUUUUUCUUAUUUAAUAAUUUUAGAUAUUUUUCUUUAAUUUAAAAUAAAUAAGAUAUUUAACAAAAUAUUAAAUUAAUGAAAGUUAAUUAUAUUUAGACAAAACUAAGUGAAAUUAUCCCUUAGUUUAAAUUGGUAAGAUGCUUGUACUUUUUCUUAAAGUAGGUGUCCUAGUCUAGAACAACCAGCUUUACAGCUUACCAGAUUUCCAGAAUUAUUACCCAUGUGCCAACCCAAAAUUUGGCACCAAAAUCAUUUUAUUUUAUUUUAUUUCUAAAUGUUAAUGGGUAAUUACAACAUACAAAUUUUUUUGGAGAAAAUUAUGCUUUAUAGAACUUGAAAUUGACCAUAUGAAUGACAUAAUUGACAGAAAAUAUAUGAAAUUGUAAAAGAUAAAAAUACCAAAGAAAAUGACACAUAAAAUCUUUUUAAAAAUUGAUUGAUUGCACACAUGGUAAUGAUCCCGAAAAAUAUCUUAAUUUUUUAUUUGAUUAAUAUAAGAAAAUGUUAUUUACAAAAUAUCUUUCUUUUUUUUUACAAAAACCAAUUUCUAUUUGAAUUAGAAAAUAUUUAUAAAAAAAAUAAUUUUAUGUUAUAAAAAAAAACUCUCAAAUUUAUUAAGAAAAUAACUAUAAUUUAUUUAUUUUUAUGUUUCUAAUUUUCGGUUUAGAUUUUUUACCCAAUUGGUCAAAGCACAAUUUUCCCCAUUUUUUAUUCACAUUCAUCAUUAAAUGAAUCAAAUAUUUGAAGGCCUUUCUCCUUCAAUAAUGUGCUACAGGGGAAUUGAACGUUGGGCUAAUGCCACCCUCACCAUUUGCGUGACAACAAGGAUUUGAAUAGCAGCAAUUAACUAUUGCCAGCUUGGAAAAAGAAACCUUAGAAAGAAAAAAAAAACUAACGUUCAUUAUUCAAAAUUAAUCAGUCUUUUUGUAUUUUAUAUUAUUAAAUUAAUAAUAAAUAUUAUAAAAGAACAAUUGGGUGUCACAUGCCGACAUGAGGAGUCUAAGACCAACUGGCACAUAACACAAUCAGUUCCCGGGAAACUCGGCUUUUAUCAUGUUUAAUAAUAAAUAAAUAAAAAAUGAUUUAAGAUUAAUAUAUUACAUUAUUUUUCUUAUUCUUACAAUUUAAAAUUGAAUUUAAAAGUAAAGUAAUUAUCGAGGAAGAAUCCACCACACUGUACCCACUCAGCCACAUGCGCCCGUUGAGCUGUUGUCUAGUGGCUGCCUGGCUGGGCCGCUUCACCAGCUGUUAUUAUUCGCAGUGGGCCCUACUUGCCACUCCAACGUCCUAUAUAUUUGGGGUGGCUUCCUCUCUCGGUCUCACCAGCCCUAAGCCACUCUCAAAAUCACUCGCCUCCUUUCUCUCUCUAACUCUCCCUCAGUUUCUCACCGCCGAUCAGCUUCUCCACUGUUCACCAAUGGCGCAAGUUGGCAUGACGAAAGCCUUAAUGCUUGUCUUCGCAGUGGUGGCAAUCUUCUCUACGGCUGCUACAGUGUCGGCUCAAGAUGGCGCCCUGGCACCGGCUCCGUCGCCAGACGUCGGAUCUGCGUUCUCCGUACCUCUCUCCGGCGCUGUUAUGGCUUGCUCUCUUGUCCUCUCUCUUCUCGCUCUCCUGAAGCCUUGAGUUCCGAUCCAUGAGAGAUUGCAGAUUUUGUAUAUGGAUUGAAAUUUGAGGAUCGUAUUAAAUUUAUUCUUUGUUCAUUUGGGAGCAUUAUUAUUGUUACCAUUUUGUGUUAUUAUUUUAUUAUCAUAAUGAUAUAAGAGAUUUAUACUUAUUAUGUCGGAUCCGAUCUGCGUGAUGCUCUCUCUUCUCUUUUCCUCAAGAGAUUGCCAUUCUGAUUUUCUUCCAACGAAGCGAAUUGUUCUUGCAAAAGAAAACACUAAACCAUAAAGUAUUUUUAUAUUUAAACACGCAUGCAUAUGCUGUUUUCCAUAUUUAUUUUCAUUGAAAUAUCAUAGAGAAUUUUUUGUAGGUAAUUUUAUUUAAUAUUUUUUAAAAAUCUAAUCACUGAUAUCUUCCCUUUUAAGCUUUUAAUUUAUUAAUGGAAUUAUUAAAAUUAGAAGUUAAAUAGAGAUGAUUACUGACUUAGUAAUAUGUAUUAUAAUAAGAAAAAUAUAUUUAAUGUAAUAAUUGUAAAUUUAUUUAAAUUUAAAAAUUUUCACUUUAUUCAAUUAAAAUUUCUUAUACUAACCUUUUAUUUAUAUAUUUCUGGACCCCGGCCGCAUGAUUUGCGUUGAUGCAAGAUAAAGUCUACAAAUUAACGGAUAUUUCCAAAAGAAGAAGGGUAACGGUCAUCACCAAAUGUUAUUUUAUUAUGUUAAUAUUUAAUAGUUUUUAAUUUCCUUUUUAUAGAAAAAUAAUACAGAGGGACCCACCAACAUAGCUGUAAAGACACCAACACUGCACUUCACAUGUCCAUUUCAGCGUACGGUUGAAUUGUGACACGUCAUCAGAGUUGGUCUCCAAAGUGGGCCCCACACGCCGCUGCAAUUCACGAACGCUGUUGCUUAUUAUUCUCUCCCGGUUUCCAGAUUGUUCUGUUGUUUAUCUUUCAGUAAUGGCGCAAGUUAGCAUGAACAAAGCCUUGAUGGCCGUCUUCACAGUCGCGGUAGUCUUAUCUGCGGCCGCUACAGUAUCGGCGCAGGAUACUUCGCCGGCCCCGGCUCCAUCUCCAGACGCCGGAUCGGCGUUCUCCCUACCUCUCCCCGGCGUUUUCAUUGUUUCCUCUCUCUUCUUUUCCCUUCUCGCUCUUUUGAAACCUUGAGAUUUAUGGAUUGUAUUGGAUUCAUUCUUUGUUUAUUGAAUGAUAAUGUUUAUGAACAAAAAUCAUGGUAUUAUUUUCGUUGUUCAUGGGAGGGCUUAAAGCUUCGAUUCACUUAUUGCAUAAAUAGAAGCUUGAAUCUCAAUUUGAUAGUGCAAUAGCACAAAAAUAAAAUAAAAUAAUUGAUCUAUAAACGUAUUCGAUUGGAUCAGUCAUAAUUAUAGAAAGAAACCACUUCUUGGAGGCUCCUUUUCAAUAUUUUUUCUUAAUGAGAAUACCAAAUAAUAAAAUUUAAUAUAUAUAUAUAUAUAUAUAUAUAUAUAUAUAUAUAUAUAUAUAUAUAUAUAUCAAUUGAAUAACAAUUAUACUAAUCGAAUUGAGUGGUUGAAUUUUCCCUUUUGAGAAAACAAAAAAAAAGAAAAAAA